rnacentral:rRNA from 1 species
GAUAAACGCUGGCGGCGUGCUUCAGGCAUGCAAGUCGAACGGGUGUCUACCUUCGGGUAGCCACUAGUGGCGGACGGGUGAGUAACGCGUUAGCAACCUGCCCAAAGGUGGGGAAUAACUAACCGAAAGGUUAGCUAAUACCGCAUGUGAUAGCUGGUUCUUGGACUGGUUAUGAAAGGCUUCGGUCGCCUUUGGAGGGGCUUGCGUCAGAUUAGCUUGUUGGUGGGGUAAUGGCCUACCAAGGCGACGAUCUGUAGCUGGUCUGAGAGGAUGGUCAGCCACACGGGGACUGAGAUACGGCCCCGACUCCUACGGGUGGCUG